rnacentral:rRNA from 1 species
GACGAACGCUGGCGGCGUGCUUAAUACAUGCAAGUCGAACGGAAAGGCCCUGCUCUUGUUGGGUGCUCGAUUGCCGAACGGGUGAGUAACACGUGAGUAACCUGUCCCUGACUUUGGGAUAACUUCACGAAACUGGGGCUAAUAUCGGAUAGGAGCUCCUGCUGCAUGUGGGGGGUUGGUAAGUUUCGGCGGUUUGGGAUAGACUGGCGGCUUAUCCGCUUGUUGGUGUAGUAGUGGCGUACAAAGGGUUCGACGGGUAGCCGGCGUGAGAGGGUAGACAGCCACAAUGCGCCUGAGGUACGGCGCAGACGCCUACGGGAGGCAGCAGUGGGGAGUAUUACACAAUGAGCGGGCGCCUGAUGCGACGACGCCGGGUGCGGGAUGACGGGCUUCGGGUUAUAAACCGCUUUCGCAUGUAACGAAGAGUGAGUGACGGUAAUGGGUCAAGAAGCACCGGCUAACUACGUG